rnacentral:rRNA from 1 species
UACGUAGGUGGCAAGCGUUGUCCGGAAUUAUUGGGCGUAAAGCGCGCGCAGGCGGUCCUUUAAGUCUGAUGUGAAAGCCCACGGCUCAACCGUGGAGGGUCAUUGGAAACUGGGGGACUUGAGUGCAGGAGAGAAGAGUGGAAUUCCACGUGUAGCGGUGAAAUGCGUAGAGAUCUCCAAGAACACCGAUUGCGAAGGCAGUCGACUGGACCCAUAUUGACGCUGAGGCUCGAAAGCAUGGGGAGCAAACAGG